GACCAGACAAAACCCAGGAAUCGAAGAAUUUUUAGAGGACACAUGGUCAUGGAGAAAAUCACCACUCCAUAAUAUUCUCGGAUCGAUCAAUAACACUCUGGCUCAUGAAUACAACGGCAUCAAAAUUAUCGACGAGGACGGAAUCAACAAUGUGAAAUCCACAAAACUCGUUGAGUGAAUUAACUCUCGAAGCUCGCUUGAAGCACUUUCGAUAUCGAAGAAUACGCGAAGGCCUAUCUGACCUCGAAGAUCGGAGAAGUCUGAAUAUUUUGACGUCCACGUAACGAUGGUUGCUAAUCCGGAGAACUUGACCGUUCAACGUUUCGAAUCUAAAAUUUGAUGGUGAAACUUUGGAAAGUUUGUCAGGAUUUGAAAGAUUCACAUCUCCCUCUCGACUCGGUCAGAGAGGGUCGACUUUAAACUGCGAAACGUAACAAUGAUGGUUUUUGGUAUCGUGGCUACGUGCUUAACGUAACUGACAAGCAAGUGUCCAUGGUUUACUUGCCGUACAAUGGUUUGCUUGAGGAUGUAUCGUAACAAUUCCGUUUGAAGUUUGAGGAGCUCCAGAUUAUUUGUUUUAAAGAGCAAGGCAGAAAUCGAAGUUUGACAGCUUUCCAUCGAACCAUCAAGUUGCUUACAACCAAGAAAAUUGAAAACACACUUGACAUUCGGCAAAGACUUCAGUCAGGCGAUUGAAUUGGAGCAAGUAGCACAGCAAGACGCAGAAAAAGAUCGUUUCCUGGUAGAAAGAGAGCAGAACAGCAAAAGAGAGCGUCGAUUAUCAGCGCCGAGGGUGACGCCCAGGCGGCCAGUUUAUUGGCAAUAUUGCCCGGAGACGCGGAUGAUGGUCUCGUCGAAUUGAGAAGAAUCGAAGCCAAUUAUUGCGGUCAAGAAAUGUCGCUUAUUUGCCUUCGAGCCAAAAUGUCCUGCUCAAUCUUCAACAGUUGAUGACUAAAAAUAUGAUGCAAUGAAGAAAACUGAAUGCGACUGAAAAUCAUGUGCAGGAAACAAAGCAUUUGUCGCAGCUUUUUUUCUAUGUAAACGUCUUCUUAACAAUUCGAAAAGAAGAAUACGCGAGUACAGUAUUUUAAGCGUUCGCAAUUUGAAUUUCGCGAGAUUCAAGUUCGAAAUUAUUUUGUAGAUUCACGUACUUUGUUUUACAUUUUUUUGUUUUCUAACUUUUUUCUUUACCAAUGUGCGAUGAUAAAUGAAAAGUCCAAAGCUUCGGGUUUUUUCCUCGCGAUUUUUACUCAAAUUUUUCAGCACACCUAGGAAAUAAGAAGGACAGAAAAAGAAAGGGUUCAAUAAACUAAUAAAUUGAUCUCAUUAAGGUUUCAUUUCUUCUCCAAAAAUGUUUGCAAGUUUAUCUUUUUCUUGUAGCGUAGUUUUUCAUGUUUGUCAAUGAAAGUUUUUUUUAUCGUUUAAUACCAAUGAUCUGUGAAAUAA